rnacentral:rRNA from 1 species
UAGGGAAUCUUCGGCAAUGGGGGGAACCCUGACCGAGCAACGCCGCGUGAGUGAAGAAGGUUUUCGGAUCGUAAAGCCCUUUUGUUAAGGAAGAACGAGUGUGAGAAUGGAAAGUUCAUGCUGUGACGGUACUUAACCAGAAAGGGACGGCUAACUACGUGCCAGCAGCCGCGGUAAUACGUAGGUCUCGAGCGUUGUUCGGAUUUAUUGGGCGUAAAGCGAGCGCAGGCGGUUAGAAAAGUCUGAAGUGAAAGGCAGUGGCUCAACCAUUGUAGGCGUUGGAAACUGGUUAACUUGAGUGCAGAAGGGGAGAGGGGAAUUCCAUGUGUAGCGGAGAAAUGCGGAGAUAAAUGGAGGGAAAACGGUGGGGAAAGCGGCUCUCUGGUCUGAAACUGACGCUGAGGCUCGAAAGCGUGGGGAGGGAACAAG